GACGAACCGUCCAAACGUUAUUCGGAAUCACUGGGCUUAAAGGGCGCGUAGGCGGCCGAGCGGUCACGGGUGAAAUCCUCCAGCUUAACUGGAGAACUGCCCUUGAUACCACUGCGGCUCGAGGAAGGAAGGGGCAAUCGGAACUGUCGGUGGAGCGGUGAAAUGCGUUGAUAUCGACAGGAACGCCGGUGGCGAAAGCGGAUUGCUGGUCCUUUUCUGACGCUGAGGCGCGAAAGCCAGGGGAGCAAACGGG
rnacentral:rRNA from 1 species